rnacentral:rRNA from 1 species
UACGAAGGGGGCUAGCGUUGCUCGGAAUCACUGGGCGUAAAGCGCACGUAGGCGGAUUGCUAAGUCAGGGGUGAAAUCCUGGAGCUCAACUCCAGAACUGCCCUUGAUACUGGCGGUCUCGAGUCCGGGAGAGGUGAGUGGAACUGCGAGUGUAGAGGUGAAAUUCGUAGAUAUUCGCAAGAACACCAGUGGCGAAGGCGGCUCACUGGCCCGGUACUGACGCUGAGGUGCGAAAGCUAGGGGAGCAAACAGG